GGAGAUCAGGAGAUUCCUAAUUCCAGUUAUUUUUUCUUGAAUUCAGAUUCCACCAUUUGCCAAGAUGGGAUUCGAACCAGGACUUCAGUCGUUUGUUUUAAUAGUUUGGAUAAAAGUUAAAUACAUUAGAAUAUUAAAUCAGAAUAACUGAGGCUGGGAUCUCAAAAGCAAGUUUUUACAGUCAAUGGAGUCAUCAGGAUCUGAAUAUCAUUGGCAUUUAACUGUGGAAGGAAAAAGGAUAAGGCUGUCACUGGCUCGGCCAGCAUUUAU